rnacentral:lncRNA from 1 species
AAACUCCCUUGGGAAGGGAGAGCCGUGAGUAAUUUUGCUCUGUUCUUACCAACAUCGCUGGUCGUGUUACGAUCUCUCUGACGGUCCGUCUCCUGCACGAGGUGGCAGUAUGAGAGAAAGCAGUUGUUUUUCAAUCCGAUUUCCUUAUAAUGAUUUUGCCUUCUUUAUCUUAAAGAGUUACGCUAUUAAAUUGCAUUUAAUAGUCAGUUCCAGUCCUUCAGGGUUACCUGGAAUUCUUCCUACAGACAGGAUACGUGGGCAUUUGUAACCGUUCAGGAUCUUACAGCACUUAGAAGCACCAAGCUGUGGUUCGUGACCUUCUCGUAGUCCGGUGUUGCUGGAGGUGGUUGGCGAUGCUCUAUCAGAGGACAAGGGCCUUGGGAGAUGGAUGCUGUGAGAAAUCCUCGCCGGCCACUGAACGCCCUGGCCGUCUGUGCUGCUUCUUCCCAGGUCCCAGGAAUCACAACAGCAACAUGACAUCAGGUUUCUUUGGAUUCAUCAAAGAAUGGCUGAAGAUCCUGAGACCACUUUGUUGCCCAGAUAAUAUGUUACUCAUCUAAUAGAUAUUCAUCUGAUUUGAAGUAUGAAUGGUAAUCUCCAUAUGCCCUUAAUUAAUAUGACAUCUAGUCAAAUAAGCAUGAUAUAAACAGACAAAUAAACGACUUACAGUAAGUAUGCUUUAUUUUAGU